GACGAACGCUGGCGGCGUGCCUAAUACAUGCAAGUAGAACGCUGAAGGAGGAGCUUGCUCUUCUGGAUGAGUUGCGAACGGGUGAGUAACGCGUAGGUAACCUGCCUGGUAGCGGGGGAUAACUAUUGGAAACGAUAGCUAAUACCGCAUAAGAGUAGAUGUUGCAUGACAUUUGCUUAAAAGGUGCAAUUGCAUCACUACCAGAUGGACCUGCGUUGUAUUAGCUAGUUGGUGGGGUAACGGCUCACCAAGGCGACGAUACAUAGCCGACCUGAGAGGGUGAUCGGCCACACUGGGACUGAGACACGGCCCAGACUCCUACGGGAGGCAGCAGUAGGGAAUCUUCGGCAAUGGACGGAAGUCUGACCGAGCAACGCCGCGUGAGUGAAGAAGGUUUUCGGAUCGUAAAGCUCUGUUGUAAGAGAAGAACGAGUGUGAGAGUGGAAAGUUCACACUGUGACGGGAUCUUACCAGAAAGGGACGGCUAACUACGU
rnacentral:rRNA from 1 species